rnacentral:rRNA from 1 species
UACAGAGGGUGCUAGCGUUGUUCGGAAUCAUUGGGCGUAAAGGGCGUGUAGGCGGUUUGUUAAGUCAUGUGUGAAAUCCCUCGGGCUCAACCCGGGGGAACGACGCAUGAAACUGGCAGCUAGAGUACCAAAGAGGGGGGGUGGAAUUCCCGGUGUAGCGGUGAAAUGCGUAGAUAUCGGGGAGGAACACCUGUGGCGAAGGCGGCCCCCCUGGUUGGAUACUGACGCUGAUACGCGAAAGCGUGGGGGAGCAAACAGG